AUAUCAAUAAGCGGAGGAAAAGAAACCAACAGGGAUUGCCUUAGUAACGGCGAGUGAAGCGGCAACAGCUCAAAUUUGAAAUCUGGCCCCCAGGCCCGAGUUGUAAUUUGUAGAGGAUGCUUCUGGCGACGCGCCUUCCGAGUUCCCUGGAACGGGACGCCAAAGAGGGUGAGAGCCCCGUCCGGUCGUGCGCCUAGCCUCUGUGAAGCUCCUUCGACGAGUCGAGUAGUUUGGGAAUGCUGCUCUAAAUGGGAGGUAUACGUCUUCUAAAGCUAAAUACCGGCCAGAGACCGAUAGCGCACAAGUAGAGUGAUCGAAAGAUGAAAAGCACUUUGAAAAGAGGGUUAAAUAGUACGUGAAAUUGCUGAAAGGGAAGCGCUUAUGACCAGACUUGGGCUUGGUGAAUCAUCCGGCGUUCUCGCCGGUGCACUUUGCCGGUCCAGGCCAGCAUCAGUUCGUCCCGGGGGAUAAAGGCUUCGGGAACGUAGCUCUUUCGGGAGUGUUAUAGACCGUUGCGUAAUACCCUGGGGUGGACUGAGGUACGCGUUCUGCAAGGAUGCUGGCGUAAUGGUCAUCAGUGACCCGUCUUGAAACACGGACC
rnacentral:rRNA from 1 species